AUGUCUAGGCUCUUGCAUCGAUGAAGAACGCAGCAGCAAGCGAUAUACGAUGAUCGAAGCGCUCUCGUGAAUCAUCGAAUCUUCGAACGCA
rnacentral:rRNA from 1 species